rnacentral:rRNA from 1 species
CUCACCAAGGCUACGAUCCCUAGCUGUUCUGAGAGGAUGAUCAGCCACACUGGGACUGAGACACGGCCCAGACUCUACKKGAGGCAGCAGUGKKGAAUAUUGCACAAUGGKGGAAACCCUGAUGCAGCCAUGCCGCGUGUGUGAAGAAKGCUUCGKGUUGUAAAGCACUUUCAGUAGGGAGGAAAGGUGAUGUGUUAAUAGCACAUUGCUGUGACGUUACCUACAGAAGAAGGACCGGCUAACUCCGUGCCAGCAGCCGCGGUAAUACGGAGGGUCCGAGCGUUAAUCGGAAUUACUGGGCGUAAAGCGUGCGCAGGCGGUUUGUUAAGCCAGAUGUGAAAUCCCCGGGCUCAACCUGGGAAUUGCAUUUGGAACUGGCGAACUAGAGUCUUGUAGAGGGGGGUAGAAUUCCAGGUGUAGCGGUGAAAUGCGUAGAUAUCUGGAGGAAUACCGGUGGCGAAGGCGGCCCCCUGGACAAAGACU